UGCAGGCUCCAGCUCGCGCCGCCUUCCCCGCUCUAAGCUUCGCCGCGCGCCUUGGUCGCGCCCGGCCAUUCAGCGCCGCCGCCGCUGCUGCCGCCCAGCCCGAGGCGGGAGAAGAGGGGAACGGCUCCCGCGGGUAGCUGAACUACUUCAACGAACUCCUGCUUAUCAGUCUUGAAAAGAUGUGUUGAAACCAGUUAGACUACUUUUUCAUAACACCCAUCUGGCUAGAGGGCCUUGAGAAAGGAGUUGUGUAACACUGCUGAAGUUCUGAGACCUGAAAUAUUUCAUACGCAAAUGAUGUUCACCCACCAUGAUUCCUUAAAGAGCCACUGCUGCAAACUACUGCACUCUUUGGAACUGCCUCUCUGUUGGCACAAUCAACCUAAGGAUAAUAGAAAGAUAAAAUUUCCCAAGCCAGAUCUGUAGGUUCUAUAAAUAAUAUUUUUAAAGGUAACUUCCAUUCCCCUAUGCAAGCAGCUUCAACACAGUUGGUAUCCUGAAAAAUCAAGUGGGAUUCUUGCAAAUAGCCAGGCCGGCUGGCCAUUAUGGCACUCCGAACGCCGCCAUUUCAUCUGAAGAAAAUGGAAAAUGGCGGACAGAAUGGGCAAUGCCCAGCUAAAUCCAAAAAAUGCUACAAACUGAUAAAAGGUAACUAAGAGGCAGAAAAACAUUUCAUGGCCCUUUGUCACCAUGUAAUAAAUUGUCAUUAUGAAUAUAACUUGAACAUACGCUGUAGCAAAAUAAAUAUUUAGAUUUCCAAUAUGUUUAUUCAUAAAACGGGUAUGGCCACAGCCAUGACUGAUUAUUUUUAUGUUCUGAACGCCUAUUUAUCCAGUAUCAUUUUGCACGCACUAUCAUAUAAUUGGCUGGUUUAUCUGGGAGUUUUUUCUUUGCCCUUUGUGAUGGGUAGAACAUUUUUAGAGGCAGCAUCUUGCCCUGUUUAGUGACCACUUUUAAAUCAUGCUCUUGCAUGUGUAUUUGUAUUUAAAGAAAUUAGUGUGUCAUAUUACAUCAUGCAUAUACAGUACACAUGCUUUGUUUUGUAUUGCUAUCUAUAUCAACUUUAAGUGUAUUUUAUUUAAUAGGCAAAAGCCUAAGAAAGCAUCCAUUUGAGAAAUACUCAUCAUUGUAUAAAGGUAAAGGUAAAGGUAAAGGUUCCCCUCGCACAUACGUGCUAGUCGUUGCCGACUUUAGGGGGCGCUGCUCAUCUCCGUUUCAAAGCCGAAGAGCCAGCGCUGUCCGAAGACGUCUUCGUGGUCAUGUGGCCGGCAUGACUCAACGCCAGAGGCGCACAGAAGGCUGUUACCUUCCCACCAAAGGUGGUCCCUAUUUUUUCAACUUGCCUUUUUACGUGCUUUCGAAACUGCUAGGUUGGCAGAAGCUGGGACAAGUAACGGGAGCUCACCCCGUUACAUGUUUUAAUCCAUAGUGCAUGAUUUGGUUAAAGAUCCUGAGUUAAUUAGGCACUAAAACAAGGAAUGUUGAAAUCCCAGUAUCCCAUGGUAGGAGAUGCUGGAGGUUGUAGUACACCACAUAAAUAUUCCCAUCCCAAUAAGAAACGAAAUAGGCUAGCCAAGUAAGCCUGCUUUUUUUUUCGGAGUAUAAAAUGCACUUUUCCCCCCUAAAAGGGGCUGAAAAUUUGGGUGCGUCCUAUACUUGGAAUGUAGCUUUUUCGAAGCUUUUUGUCAACCCUAACGAGAUACUAACGAGUGAAUCAUUUUCCAAGCUUUGCCUGCUUUUCUUAUUGCUUCUCUCUCCGAAGUUUUUUAUCCCCAGCGCUCAAAACCAGUGAACUAAUGUGCUGAAGCUGACCAGACUAAGGACGCUAGCCAGAUGAAUACCUUGUAGGCAGAUUUUUUUUCCCUAUUUUCCUCCCCAAAAACAAAGGUGCGUCUUAUACUCUGAAAAAGACAGUAUUUAGCACUCACAGAUUUUACUAUAUAGAAAGA